rnacentral:rRNA from 1 species
AACGAACGCUGGCGGCAGGCCUAACACAUGCAAGUCGAGCGCCCCGCAAGGGGAGCGGCGGACGGGUGAGUAACGCGUGGGAACGUGCCCUUUGCUACGGAAUAGCCCCGGGAAACUGGGAGUAAUACCGUAUAAGCCCUACGGGGGAAAGAUUUAUCGGCAAAGGAUCGGCCCGCGUUGGAUUAGGUAGUUGGUGGGGUAAUGGCCUACCAAGCCGACGAUCCAUAGCUGGUUUGAGAGGAUGAUCAGCCACACUGGGACUGAGACACGGCCCAGACUCCUACAGGAGGCAGCAGUGGGGAAUCUUAGACAAUGGGCGCAAGCCUGAUCUAGCCAUGCCGCGUGAGCGAUGAAGGCCUUAGGGUUGUAAAGCUCUUUCGUGGGGGAAGAUAAUGACUGUACCCCAAGAAGAAGCCCCGGCUAACUCCGUGCCAGCCGCCGCGGUAAAAC